UUCUGUACAGUAGAUUUUGCAGA
rnacentral:piRNA from 1 species